rnacentral:misc_RNA from 1 species
UCGGGUGUCCAGGCGCCAGGUCCGAAGCGAAUGUCUUCGGCUGGUAGCUCAUGGGUGGAACAUUGACAUAGGUGCUGCAGGAUUCUGGCUGGUUCUAGUACGUCGCUUCGGCGACUGGAACGGAUCGGCUGGGGGAGGGCAGCAUAUGCACGCUGUUGGGUCCUGAGGGACCGGGCCGGCGCCGGAAGGUGUCGUUUCGAACCUCUGGACCCUUUCGUCAUCUCCCUUGGGGGGUGCGGGAGGGUACCGCCCGUACUUUGAGAACUACACAGUGGACGCGAGCAUCUUAGAUUCAGGCUUCGGCCUGGAUCACAAGAUCUGACUGCACUCCUUUCGGGGAGUGUGUAGAUCAUUGGUCAAUCUCGGCAUCUUCGGGUGUCGCGAUCGAUUCUAAAACUCAUGUGAU